CGCCUUUGAAGAAAGCUGAGUGCUGUGAUAGCCGAGCCAGACAGAGGAAAUCAACGGCACCCGCAUUGUGGCCAACUGUGUGUCCAGCACAGACACGCACAGGCAUUGACUCACCUGGAGGAAGAGUAAGGCCAAUCCCCCAAGGCCACCUGCCCAGAGAACAGCUAGACUUUCAUCCUGCAGGAGAAGGGGACAGGAAAAAGGAGCCUGCCGUUCUGGCGACUGUGCAGUCCCCUAGACAACAGAGACGGAGACACACUGCCCGAGGACAGACAGCUAGCAAGUCAAAGGGCGAGAUUCAAGCCGUGAUGGCCAGUUCCAGACAGAAGUGUUUAACCACUGCCCAUUCUCAGACAGAGCAAGGCUCCAUCUGCCAAAUUACACGGGGAAUAGGCAACUCAGGUGGCUGAAUUUGGUCCAAGACUUGCUUGCAUUGUAAGGCAUCACCGAGAAGCGAGGUUUCGGAGGAAACUGCUUUCCUCACACACCUCUGAUCAUUGGAAACCAUGAAUACUCAACAAGAAGAAGCUGAUCGCUGUGAACUGGCAAAUUAGCCUAGGUCAGGUCACAAGAAUGGGCAUCUUUAAAGUUUGCUUUAUUGUGUCAAUAUCCCCUUCAGUGCUAUUAAAUACCAAGGAAAAAAUGAAACGCAAC
rnacentral:lncRNA from 1 species